UAACGAAUCUUCCGCAAUGCACGAAAGUGUGACGGAGCGACGCCGCGUGCGGGACGAAGCCUUUCGGGGUGUAAACCGCUAAUGGGAUCUAGAAAGUUCUGAUCGGGUCCCGAUAAGGAGCGACUAACUCCGUGCCAGCAGUCGCGGUAAUACGGAGGCUCCGAGCGUUAGGCGGAAUUACUGGGCUUAAAGCGUGUGCAGGCGGCCCGCCAAGUGUCUUGUGAAAGCCCACGGCUCAACCGUGGAACUGCUCGACAUACUGGUGGGCUUGAGUCAUUCAGGGGCUAGCGGAACGAACGGUGGAGCGGUGAAAUGCAUAGAUAUCGUUCGGAACGCCAGAGGCGAAAGCGGCUAGCUGGGAAUGAACUGACGCUCAGACACGAAAGCCAGGGGAGCGAACGGGAUUAGAUACCCCCGUAGUCC
rnacentral:rRNA from 1 species